rnacentral:lncRNA from 1 species
GUUCCGCAGCAUUUAUGGUGCCGCUCAACAGCACGCAUUACCCACAUAUCAGAGAUGAUAGAGUAAAAUCUAAAUAAAAUUCAUUAGCAAGGAAGAUUAUAAUUUACUAACAUUUGGAUUAUUUAGCUGCUUAUCAAUCGUGAAGGUUAAUGAAUAGUGCCAGCAAUGCUAUCAUAUCACUAAAAAAAUAUUAAAAAAAUGAUGCAUACCUGAUGUUUAACUUUCCCUGUUACUCCACUCCGAAUCAGAAUUUGUUUGCAUAGAUAAUUUGUUAG